rnacentral:rRNA from 1 species
AGUCGAACGGCAGCAUGAUCUAGCUUGCUAGAUUGAUGGCGUGUGGCGAACGGGUGAGUAAUACAUCGGAACGUGCCCUGUAGUGGGGGAUAACUAGUCGAAAGAUUAGCUAAUACCGCAUACGACCUGAGGGUGAAAGUGGGGGACCGCAAGGCCUCAUGCUAUAGGAGCGGCCGAUGUCUGAUUAGCUAGUUGGUGAGGUAAAGGCUCACCAAGGCGACGAUCAGUAGCUGGUCUGAGAGGACGAUCAGCCACACUGGGACUGAGACACGGCCCAGACUCCUACGGGAGGCAGCAGUGGGGAAUUUUGGACAAUGGGGGCAACCCUGAUCCAGCAAUGCCGCGUGUGUGAAGAAGGCCUUCGGGUUGUAAAGCACUUUUGUCCGGAAAGAAAUCGCACUUACUAAUAUUAGGUGUGGAUGACGGUACCGGAAGAAUAAGGACCGGCUAACUACGUGCCAGCAGCCGCGGUAAUACGUAGGGUCCAAGCGUUAAUCGGAAUUACUGGGCGUAAAGCGUGCGCAGGCGGUUGUGCAAGACCGAUGUGAAAUCCCCGGGCUUAACCUGGGAAUUGCAUUGGUGACUGCACGGCUAGAGUGUGUCAGAGGGGGGUAGAAUUCCACGUGUAGCAGUGAAAUGCGUAGAGAUGUGGAGGAAUACCGAUGGCGAAGCAGCCCCCUGGGAUAACACUGACGCUCAUGCACGAAAGCGUGGGGAGCAAACAGGAUUAGAUACCNUGGUAGUCCACGCCCUAAACGAUGUCAACUAGUUGUUGGGGAUUCAUUUCCUUAGUAACGUAGCUAACGCGUGAAGUUGACCGCCUGGGGAGUACGGUCGCAAGAUUAAAACUCAAAGGAAUUGACGGGGACCCGCACAAGCGGUGGAUGAUGUGGAUUAAUUCGAUGCAACGCGAAAAACCUUACCUACCCUUGACAUGCCACUAACGAAGCAGAGAUGCAUUAGGUGCUCGAAAGAGAAAGUGGACACAGGUGCUGCAUGGCUGUCGUCAGCUCGUGUCGUGAGAUGUUGGGUUAAGUCCCGCAACGAGCGCAACCCUUGUCUCUAGUUGCUACGAAAGGGCACUCUAGAGAGACUGCCGGUGACAAACCGGAGGAAGGUGGGGAUGACGUCAAGUCCUCAUGGCCCUUAUGGGUAGGGCUUCACACGUCAUACAAUGGUGCAUACAGAGGGUUGCCAAGCCGCGAGGUGGAGCUAAUCCCAGAAAAUGCAUCGUAGUCCGGAUCGUAGUCUGCAACUCGACUACGUGAAGCUGGAAUCGCUAGUAAUCGCGGAUCAGCAUGCCGCGGUGAAUACGUUCCCGGGUCUUGUACACACCGCCCGUCACACCAUGGGAGUGGGUUUUGCCAGAAGUAGUUAGCCUAACCGCAAGGGGGGCGAUUACCACGGCAGGGUUCAUGACUGGGGUGAAGUCGUAACAAGGUA